AAAAAAUUUGUAAAAUACAUUUGAGGAAGUAAAGCAUUUUUCUUCCAGGUCUUGUGUUGUUGUUAAAUAUUCACCAUUGCAGGAUAUUUUUAUUGUAUUACUAGAAUAUUUUUAUAAAGGAUAUAUAAAUAGGCUGCUGAAUAGAAUGGUACAAAUAGAUUUGUUUUUUUUUCUUUUUUCAGAGCGACAAAUGUUUGAUCUUGACAGUAUAUGUGAACAUCAAAACAUUUCGGCUGUUGAUAAUCAAAUCUGAUCGUUGCUGGAGGUAACACUAUUUUUUUUUUUUUACUCUUUAAUUCAUU